UACGUAGGGGGCAAGCGUUGUUCGGAAUUACUGGGCGUAAAGGGCGCGUAGGCGGUGUGUCAAGUCAGGCGUGAAAGCCCCGGGCUCAACCUGGGAACCGCGCUUGAGACUGGCACGCUAGAGUUCGGGAGAGGAUGGUGGAAUUCCCAGUGUAGCGGUGAAAUGCGUAGAGCUCGGGAAGAACAUCGGUGGCGAAAGCGCUCUGCUGGACUGCAACUGACACUCAGGGACGAAAGCUAGGGGAGCGAAUGGG
rnacentral:rRNA from 1 species